GCAUAUCAAUAAGCGGAGGAAAAGAAACCAACCGGGAUUGCCUCAGUAACGGCGAAGUGAAGCGGCAAAAGCUCAAAUUUGAAAUCUGGCCGCAAGGUCCGAAUUGUAAUUUGAAGAAGCGACUCUGGUACCGGCCCUUGUCUAUGUUCCUUGGAACAGGACGUCACAGAGGGUGAGAAUCCCGUGCGAUGGGGAGCCCGGUGCUAUGUAGAGCGUUUUCGACGAGUCGAGUUGUUUGGGAAUGCAGCUCUAAGUGGGUGGUAAAUUCCAUCUAAAGCUAAAUAUUGGCGAGAGACCGAUAGCGAACAAGUACUGUGAAGGAAAGAUGAAAAGAACUUUGAAAAGAGAGUGAAAAAGUACGUGAAAUUGUUGAAAGGGAAGGGCUUGGGAUCAGACAUUGUAUUUCCAUGGCGCUCUCUCGGGGGCGUCCUCUGGGUUUACAGGGCCAGCAUGGGUUCUGCGGGCAAGAUGAGGGUGUGGGGAACGUGGCUCUGCUUCGGCCGAGUGUUAUAGCCCCGUACACUGGUUGCCACGCGGGACCGAGGAUUGCGAAUCUAGGAUGCUGGCAUAAUGAUCUUAAGCCGCCCGUCUUGAAACACGGACCAAGGAGUCUAACGUCUAUGCGAGUGUUUGGGUGUAAAACCCGUACGCGGAAUGAAAGUGAACGUAGGUGAGAGCUUCGGCGCAUCAUCGACCGAUCCUGAUGUCUUCGGAUGGAUUUGAGUAAGAGCAUAGCUGUUGGGACCCGAAAGAUGGUGAACUAUGCCUGAAUAGGGUGAAGCCAGAGGAAACUCUGGUGGAGGCUCGUAGCGGUUUCUGACGUGCAAAUCGAUCGUCGAAUUUGGGUAAUAAGGGGCGAAAGACUAAUCGAACCAUCUAGUAGCUGGUUCCUGCCGA
rnacentral:rRNA from 1 species